rnacentral:tRNA from 1 species
GCCGGCCUAGCUCAGUUGGUAGAGCAGCUGUUUCGUAAACAGCAGGUCCGGGGUUCGAGUCCCCGGGUCGGCU